UAGAGUUUGAUCAUGGCUCAGGAUGAACGCUAGCGGCAGGCCUAACACAUGCAAGUCGAGGGGUAACAGGAAAGCUUGCUUUCGCUGACGACCGGCGCACGGGUGCGUAACGCGUAUGCAACCUACCUCAUACUGGAGAAUAGCCCCUGGAAACGGGGAUUAAUACUCCAUAGUAUCAUUCUUUCGCAUGUUUGAAUGAUUAAAGAAUUUCGGUAUGAGAUGGGCAUGCGUCCCAUUAGCUAGUUGGUGAGGUAACGGCUCACCAAGGCUACGAUGGGUAGGGGGCCUGAGAGGGUGAUCCCCCACACUGGUACUGAGACACGGACCAGACUCCUACGGGAGGCAGCAGUGAGGAAUAUUGGUCAAUGGAGGCAACUCUGAACCAGCCAUGCCGCGUGAAGGAUGACGGCCCUAUGGGUUGUAAACUUCUUUUGAAUAGGAAGAAACUUAUCUACGUGUAGAUAACUGACGGUACUAUUAGAAUAAGGAUCGGCUAACUCCGUGCCAGCAGCCGCGGUAAUACGGAGGAUCCAAGCGUUAUCCGGAUUCAUUGGGUUUAAAGGGUCCGUAGGCGGAUCUUUAAGUCAGUGGUGAAAGCCGACAGCUUAACUGUCGAACUGCCAUUGAUACUGGAGAUCUUGAGUACAAAUGAAGUAGGCGGAAUGAGUCAUGUAGCGGUGAAAUGCAUAGAUAUGACUC
rnacentral:rRNA from 1 species